rnacentral:rRNA from 1 species
CUUCUCUUAUCCUUUUCCCUUUUCCCCAACGAGUUUCUCAGUCUAUCCACUCCCUCCUCCACUCUACCGCUCACUUUUCUCCCCUCCAUCUCGAGCUCGUGCGGAGCUGCCCGGCGGCGUAUUCGGAGACCACGGCGGAGGAGCUCGUGCGGGUGGGCUGCGCUGGUGACGUACUCGAGAACCGCGGUAGACUGGCGGAGGAGCUGCUCCUGGAGCUCGGGCGGCUCCGGCGACGCGCGCGCUGGUGGAGAGGAGCGGCGGGGAGGAGAUGGGGGGCGAUGCGUUCGACGAUGGGGGUCGCCCCCUGCUACUGCCCGGGUGUUGGCGCGGCUCUGGCGACACACGAGGAGGCCACGGCGAGGAGAUGCGCGAGCGGGGAGCGCGCGGAGGCGGCUCUAGCGGAGAGGAGCAACGGGGAGGAGAUGGGGCGCGAUGUGGCGAGCUCCUCUUCGAGGUCUAUGCAUGUGUGCACAUCCUCCGCUUCACCUUUGGUUUCUUUCAAAUCUUGUCUGUUCGUCUUUGCAAACUGUUCAUGCUUCCAUCUGAUGCACUUAUGGAUACAGUGAACUAUGUGCCCUCUGUGUGCUUUACCUUCCAGCAAUUAUUGGGCGAAAAUUGCAAUGGUUUCCAUGAAAAUGCUGCCAUGUCUCCCAAUUUUUUGCCAUAGUUCCUAAUUGGUUACCAUGCUAGAAUUGCCAUGUUCUUUGUAUAGUUUUGACAUUAUUUGUCAUGUCUCAACACAUGUCAGUAUUCCCUUUUUUAUGUGUGUUCACAUUUUUGCCAUGGCAACUUCCCCUAUUUGUGUUGAUUGUGACAGUAGGGCCCUAGCCCGGUCUGAGCAGAGAACACAGAAUCAAAACAUAGCAAUCAUUGCUCGCUUACUUAGCACGGGCAAUGGUUAUGUGCUCAUACUAUGUGCUCUCCAUUUAUAGUGUCACACUUCCAUGUGCUUGGAUGUGUUUUGACACACUGAUGGACUAGAUAAUAUGUUUUCUUCAAAAUAUUCAUUACCGCGCAUAGGUAUCCGAAACUAUUUUUUUGCCAUGGCAACUUUUCAUUGCUAUGCAUAUGUUCUCAACAUGAAUUUUAUUACCCAAGCCUUCACCAUGAUCAACUCUUUUUUUUUGUUUUUUGCUUUUGGUACAUGGCAAACUCGAGAGAUAAAUUUUCCAAUCCUUUAUUUAAAAUUACAAAUAUCUAAAUUUGACAUGUUUCAUUACUAAAAAAAUG